rnacentral:rRNA from 1 species
UGGGGAAUAUUGCACAAUGGGCGAAAGCCUGAUGCAGCAACGCCGCGUGGGUGAUGAAGGUUUUCGGAUCGUAAAGCCCUGUCUUUUGGGACGAUAAUGACGGUACCAAAGGAGGAAGCCACGGCUAACUACGUG